CGGGCCGGAGGGCAGUGGCACGCGAGUCCUGGCGCUGGCGCUGCUGGCGGCGAACGGCAUCGACGCGACGGAGUUCGAACCCCUGCCGCUCGGC
rnacentral:tRNA from 1 species